rnacentral:rRNA from 1 species
UACGGAGGGUGCAAGCGUUGUUCGGAAUCACUGGGCGUAAAGCGCGUGUAGGCGGCUAUCUAAGUCUGAUGUGAAAGCCCUGGGCUCAACUCAGGAAGUGCAUUGGAUACUGGAUAGCUGGAGUACCGGAGAGGAGGGUGGAAUUCCUGGUGUAGCGGUGAAAUGCGUAGAUAUCAGGAGGAACACCGGUGGCGAAGGCGCACAUCUGGCCCAAUACUGACGCUAAAGCGCGAAAGCUAGGGGAGCAAACGGG